rnacentral:rRNA from 1 species
AUUGAACGCUGGCGGCAGGCCUAACACAUGCAAGUCGAACGAGUGGCGGACGGGUGAGUAAUGUCUGGGACACUGCCUGCUGGAGGGGGAUAACUACUGGAACCGGUAGCUAAUACCGCAUACCAUCGGAUGUGCCCCUAUGGGAUUAGCUAGUAGGUGGGGUAAAGGCUCACCUAGGCGACGAUCCCUAGCUGGUCUGAGAGGAUGACCAGGCAAACUGGAACUGAGACACGGGCCAGACGCCUACGGGAGGCAGCAGUGGGGAAUAGUGCACAAUGGGCGCAAGCCUGAUGCAGCCAUGCCGCGUGUAUGAAGAAGGCCUUCGGGUUGUAAAGUACUUACAGCGGGGAGGCGUUACCCGCAGAAGAAGCACCGGCUAACUCCGUGCCAGCAGCCGCGGUAAUUC